rnacentral:rRNA from 1 species
CAGUAGCCACGGUAAUACGAAGGGUGCAAGCGUUACUCGGAAUUACUGGGCGUAAAGCGUGCGUAGGUGGUGGUUUAAGUCCGUUGUGAAAGCCCUGGGCUCAACCUGGGAAUUGCAGUGGAUACUGGGUCACUAGAGUGUGGUAGAGGAUAGUGGAAUUUCCGGUGUAGCAGUGAAAUGCGUAGAGAUCGGAAGGAACAUCUGUGGCGAAGGCGACUAUCUGGGUUAACACUGACACUGAGGCACGAAAGCGUGGGGAGCAAACAGGAUUAGAUACCCCAGUAGUCCCUGUCUCUUAUAC